rnacentral:rRNA from 1 species
CAGCAGCAGCCGCGGGAAUACGAAGGGGGCUAGCGUUGCUCGGAAUGACUGGGCGUAAAGGGCGCGUAGGCGGAUUGUUUAGUUAGGCGUGAAAUUCCUGGGCUUAACCUGGGGACUGCGCUUAAUACAGGCAGUCUAGAGUGAGGAAGAGGGUUGUGGAAUUCCCAGUGUAGAGGUGAAAUUCGUAGAUAUUGGGAAGAACACCGGUGGCGAAGGCGGCAACCUGGUCCUUGACUGACGCUGAGGCGCGAAAGCGUGGGGAGCAAACAGGAUUAGAUACCCCUGUAGUCCCUGUCUCUUAUAC